UAUUGACCUCACCCUAAUCAAUAUUUGACUUAGUUUGAUCAACUACUAAAUCAAUUCAAGCCCAAUAUGAUCAAAUCAGAAAAUCUUUGAUGUAAUCCAAUUACAGAACCUAAUUUGAUCUACCCAUGACCAAUCCGUCAUGCACAAACACUAAUUUUAGAUCUUAAAUCAAAAUUUUCAUAUCUAAAUUCUUUAUAUGAA
rnacentral:lncRNA from 1 species